GCCCCUCCACUGCACUCCUUCCCCACCACCUACGAGAAGCUCCUCGAGGAGAAGGGCGACCCGGAGUUCCAGUGGGUGCGGCCGCGGAGCGAGUGGGACCCCAUGGUGCUCAACUACACCUCAGGGACGACCUCGGCGCCGAAGGGGGUGGUGCACUGCCACCGGGGCCUGUUCCUGGUCACCGUCGACUCGCUGGUGGACUGGUCGGUGCCGCCGCACCCGGUGUUCCUCUGGACGCUGCCCAUGUUCCACACCAACGGCUGGUCCUUCCCUUGGGGCGUCGCCGCCGUCGCCGGCACCAACGUCUGCCUCCGCCGCGUCGACGCUCCCGCCGUCUUCUCCGCCCUCCGCCGCCACCGCUGCACCCACAUGUGCGGCGCCCCCGUCGUCCUCAACAUGCUCGCCAACUCCCCCCACUCCGACCCCGACCCCGACUCCGCCCCCGUCAACGUCCUCACCGCCGGCGCGCCCCCGCCGGCCGCCGUGCUCCACCGCGCGGAGAAGCUCGGGUUCCGCGUCAGCCACGGGUACGGCCUCACGGAGACGGCGGGGCUGGCGGUGUCGUGCGCGUGGAAGGGGGAGUGGGACCGGCUCCCCGCGCUGGAGCGCGCGCGGCUGAAGGCGCGGCAGGGCGUGCGCACGCCCUGCAUGGCGGCCGUCGACGUGGUGGACCCCGCCACCGGCCGCCCCGUCCCGCGCGACGGCGCCGCCGUGGGCGAGAUCGUCCUCCGCGGCGGCUGCAUCAUGCUCGGCUACCUGAAAGACGCAGCGGCGACCGCGCAGGUGAUCCGCGGCGACGGGUGGUUCUACACGGGCGACGUCGCGGUCAUGCACCCGGACGGGUACCUGGAGAUCAAGGACCGGUCCAAGGACGUGAUCAUCAGCGGCGGGGAGAACAUCAGCAGCGUGGAGGUGGAGUCGAUCCUUUACGGUCACCCGGCCGUGGACGAGGCGGCGGUGGUCGCUCGUCCGGACGAGUUCUGGGGCGAGACCCCUUGCGCCUUCGUCAGCCUCAAGAGAAAGCAGCAGGAGAAGCAAGAACAGCCGACGGCGGAGGAGGUGAUCGCGUGGUGCAGGGAGCGAAUGCCGCACUACAUGGUGCCGAAGACGGUAGUGUUCGAGGAGGAGCUGCCAAAGACGUCCACGGGCAAGAUUCUGAAGUACGUGCUCCGCAGCAAGGCCAAACAGAUGGGCCCCAGGACCAGCAGCAGCCGUUUGUGACCGACGAUAUAUAUAUAUAUAUAUAUCAUAUAAUUGAGUGGCUUUACUUACGCAAAAUAAUAAGUAAAAACCAAAAAAAAAAAAAAAGAAAAAAAAGAAGAAGAAGAGAGAAUGCAUGUUGUUACUAUUUGGAAAAUGCUCUUGCAUACAAAUAAAUUAUGCCACUCGCUGGAUGUAUUUCUAUUUUGAAAUUAAUAGUCAUGUUUAUUUUCUUGUGAUUUAUACUUUUUCUAGUAUUGUCUCUAUUUGUAAGUAUAAUUUUACUGAUUAUGAUUAUUAUUGUUAUAUACAAAGACUGCUGAUGUGUUGACAAAUAUAAUACAUUUGUCUCUCAGAAGAAAUAUGUUUAAAAAUUUCUUCCCAGAGACUUGCUUCACACUCACUCGGGUCAAGUCUUCGCCAGUAAAUAAGUGGUUGGUAGUGUUUUUUUUUGGUAUUUUUUUAAAUGAAAAAUAGGGUAGCAUAACAAAUAAAAUAAAUGAAGCGGGCAGCAUACUACUAUCUCUUAAAAAAAAUAAUAAUAAUGAUAGAGAGAGCUUUGGUUGGUAUACAUAAAUUUAUAUAAGCAGCAUAUUUAUUAAUAAUUAUAUGGAGAGUUUUGAUUGGUAUACAUAAAUUUAUAUAAACAACACACUUAUUAAUAAUUAUAUGGAGAGUUUCGAUUGGUAUACAUAAACUUACAUAAGCAGCACACUUAUUAAUGUAUCUGCUGUACAUACGAACAAUNUGUUAUUUUUUUUUUUUUUUUUUUUUUUUUUUUGGCGUCAAAAGUAAUAAUAUCUAGAACGGACAAAUUAGGUGAAUUGAAAAAUAUUGAGCACCACCGAUCGUUUCUAGAGCAAGUGGCAAAGGAAUUGAUGGUUGAUAUCCGAGAUUCAAGUUUGAAUUCUAAUUGAUUCAUAUUUUCAGUUAAAUUUAUUUUUAAAUGAAAUAAACGAAAAAGGGUAGCGUACUAUCUAAAAGUAAAUGAUUCUUUUGAAAUUUAAAUAACGUUUUAGUUGUCUUUAUUGAUGAGGCCAUGAGGGCUGUGAUGUUUUUCUUUAUUAUUAUUAUUUUUUAUUUUUUAUAGCUAGGAAAAUAGUUUUAAGUGGGACUGUGGGACAGUGGAAGUGGAGUGAGUGACGGUUAUAUUGACCAAGUGGUGCUUUCUUACUGCAUGCGGAUGUCAAUGGACACGGGUAUCUAAAAUUUUAUCCGAAUUCGAACCCGAAAAAAACGGAUAUAUUCGAUGCUAAAUAGAUAUGAAUUCAGAUAUGGAUAUCAAAAAUAGAAACCUGACGGAUAUGGAUUUUGACUGUACCAGACCCAAAUCCGAACCCGAUUCGAAUCCGAAUUUAUUUUGUUCUAUAUAUAUAUAUAUAUAUAUAUAUAUAUAUAUAUAUUCUUAGUCUAUGAUAUAAUAUUAUUUAUUUAUUUAUUUUAUUAUAUAUAGAGGGUAACAAUAACAAUGUUAUGAUAUGGGCAAGUGAAUAGAAAUGUCGAUAUGGGAACCACAUGCAUGUGAUGAUGUGAGACACAUUUUUAUACAUAAAGAGAAGUAUAAAUUUUCAAAUCAAGGUCUAGUUUGAUACUAUGGUGAUUAAAAUCACUUUUCAUAUUUUAAAAAUUUUGACUUUAAUAGAGUUUCUGCUUUUUUCUUCAAUAAUAUAAAAUUAUGGUGGUCAAAACUAUUGUGGUGGAACGGCAAAAUAUUUAGAAUAACUGCAUUAUGGCCAAUUUGCAUAAAAAAUCCACUUAUUUUGGGCUUUUGCAAAACUGGACUAUCUUUUUCGUUUUUGUAGAUUCGGUCCGUUUUUUCAGCAAAUUAACCAAAAUACUCUUAUUACUUUUUCUCUUUCCUCUUUCUCUCUUCUUUUGCACUGUUUUUCCUCUUGUUGCACCAUUUUUUCUCCUGUUACACUAUUUUUUAUCUUAAACUGCACCCCUUUAAGAGAUAUAAAAAGGUAUAAGGGUGUCUCCGCUCCGUCUCCGCCGCUCUCUGGGAAGAGAAAGAAAAAAGAACGAGAGAAACAAAGAGGAGAGAGAAAGAGGAAAGAGAAAAAAGUAUAAGGGUAUUUUGGUCAGUUUGCUGAAAAAACGGACCGAAUUUGCAAAAACGAAAAAGGUGGCCCAGUUUUGCAAAAGUCCAAAAUAAAUAGAUUUUUUAUGCAAAUUGGCCCUGCAUUAUUGGUUCCCAACAUUUUACCUUUUUUUUAUUUUUUAUUUUGGCCCCCAAACUUGCGUCUAAUCAUGUUAAACCGAGUCUCGCUACCCUAAAUAUUAUUCUUUACAUCUACAAUCUUCUCGAUCACGCAUAUGAUAUCUGCUGUCACUUUUAGAAUAUUUAGGCUUAGUUUGGUAUUGAGGUCUAUCUGACGCUAUUAGAUAAAAUGGAGUCGAGGAAAAAGUAUAUAGGGAUAUACUUCUGCGUUCUCCGGUGGGACUGCAGAAAAUAUAUCGUAACCGAUUCAUCGCGAUAUGCGGAACGCAAUAUUACGUAAGGAAACAAAAGUAUUUUUCCAACGUACUUUCUCACCGCACGUAAUGCAAUCUCCCCGCAAUCCCAAACGAAGCCUUAGUAUUCUUAAUAGCAAGUCCGACGUAUCACUAAAUUUUCGUAAACAAACUUAAAAAAAUUAUCAUCAGAAUUAAUUCAUAAACCUGAUCUAUACACGUAGAAGUAUUUUAUUGGAGUUGACAUAGUCUACUUUAUCAACGUAAGAAAAAACAAUUAAAUAUUUGAGAUCCCACCAAAAUGAAAUGCAAAGCUUAGAAAUCUAGUAGCCAAAACUAAAAGAUCAAGCACGAAAAGUUCAAAAAAUAAUAAUAAUAAAGAAAAUAAAGAUUAGCGACAAAUAGUGUAAUUAACCUUUUAAUCUAUGUUUGUUCUUUGACUAUUAUGUCACGCUACCAUGUUUUUCAAAAAAGAAAGAAAAAAACUCUAUGCUACUACAUAGAUGGGUAGUUAUUAAAAUGCAAUAAAGGUCACAUUUUUCAUCAAGAUUACGAGAUUAUUAGGUGCAAUAGUGUAAAGCGGGGGGUCAAGUAACAUGGAACGGGGAUUCAAAAAUAAUAACCUAAGAUUUCGUUUUUUCUUUUUUUAAAUCUUUUAAGCUAAAUAUUAGGUGCAAUAUUUUUUAUUUUUUAGAGAGAUAAAGUGUAAAUUUUUAAAUGAUAGGGAGAGAAAGUGAAAAAUUAAAUUUUGCUAGAAGGAUUUUCAGUAAUUUAGCCUUUUAUUUUUUUAUUUUUUUAAAAAAAAAGAAAUAGAUGAAAUGUUGCCUUUAUAUUUCGACUAAUAUUAUAAAAUAAGUAAAGUUACCAGCACAUUUGUCACGUCCCGGAUUACAGCGGAAACCCGGGUUACGUCAACAGAUCCGCCGCAUGCAUAAGGAUACACCUUAUACAUACGAAGCGUCAACAAAAUUAACUAAAAUCUAAUAAUAAUAGGUAUCAGAGAAAAAUAAAACUAUAUACUAUAAUAACACUGUAACGAUUUACAAUCAUCAUCACACUGGUCUUCAAAAUGGUACAAUAUUUCUGACCACUCCAAGUAUCAAAACACUGUAUAGGCUGCUCACUAAUAGGUGGUCCAACUAUACACACAAGAAGGGUAGGAGAUACUAACUAUCCACGAUCCCCUUAUCUCGACAGUCGCUGGUGCUGAAGGCUUUGAAAUAAAAUAUUAAAUAAGAAGGUAUGAGAACUAUAAUCAAUAGUUCCCAGUGGAUACGAUCAUCAAUGUCGGCGAUCUACACCACGAGGUCUAUAAGAAGCAGAAAUAGUAAAUACUGAGCAAUAUGAAGGAACAGAUAUUAAUAGGAAUAAUUGCUGAAAAUAACUGCUACUAUCAUAUCUCUACAAUAUAGCUGGAAUUGUAAAUUAUGUUUUGCAUGCAUUAAUUAGAGAUUAAAUAAAAUAUUACAAUAAUGCUCAAUCAUAGUGACCGACUCAACAGUCAGGUCUAGCCUGCGCCACCUCGUGUCCACCACCCACCUAUAAUGGUCCGCUACCACGCAGGCUACUGUUUGCCCCAUGCCAUAAUAAUAUCUCAUAACCCAACCUCCGGAGUGGUACUGGCGGGACGCUACCCCAACCGAGUAUAGUAUCACUGUCAAACUCAAAAUAGCAUGCAGGCUGUGAUCAAAUGCGAUGAUCAAACAGAUCAUGAUAAUACUGUUAUACUGUGCAAAAUAUAGUUAUACUCUACACUAUCUGUAGCUGUCUAUUGACUUUUAGAAAAAUAUCACAUAUAUAUGUGUCUCAAUUUAUUAUAUUGGUAGGUAUCAAAAUAUCACUAUUUAUCUUAACUAUGUCAACAGUUCAUCUCACAGGCUAAAUAAUGUAAUAUGGAUAUAGAAAUUAGUCCGCCAAUUUUGAUAAUACGGAACCCACCUAUUACGCAAAUCCAAUGAAAUGAACAGUAGACAGGAUAGUAGCCACAACACUCUAAGAUAGCUCGAAAAUCUCUCGUCAAAAUUACGCGAAAUCCACUCCAUGAAGUCGAAAAGGUAAAAAUACACGUGCGCGCACUCGACUCGCUCGUUCGCUCGCCUCGCUCGCUCGCUCGUAAGAAUGAAACCAAGUUUUUCCUUCUUCCCUGUUAAUUAAUUUUGUGCUCAAAACCUCCCUCCCCCCCUCUCUCUCUCUCUCUCUCUCUCUCUCUCUCUCAAACUUAGCAACAAAAAAGAAAAUGAUAAGGAUGGGGAAUAGCACGUGGAUUCUACCGCUUAAUAAAGUAAAAUUGCCAACAAGCCCCUCUAUAACUAAGUAUUUGUUGCUAGCCGAACGUUCUCAUCCUUGACCUGGUCAAAGAUCUCCCUCGGAAAAGUGCGCAGGGAUGUGGAACGACUACGAUUAGUGACCCUCGAAGUUUGCGCUCUUCGAUUAGAUCAAGCGAUUCGGCUAAUGAGGGAUCGGAUUAGCUGAGUUCGAAACUUUUACUGUAAAAUCAGUUCGGCUGGAUGAGCCGAAUCUACGGACUGUGUGAAAACUGGGGUUGGCCGAAGGAACCGAAUGAAUGGAAAACACAGUAGUUGGUCGGCCGAAAAAGCUGAAUUACCUUUAUAUAUAUUGAAUUUGACUGGUGGAAAAAGAACAAGGGUCGUGUGUGCCUGAAGGCAUACAGACUCGGUUGAUCUAAUCUAAUUCUACUCCUAGGAAAAGCAGUAAAUGCUGGAAAGUAAAGGAUUACAAGUAGACUACUCUUAAAAAAUGCAGAGAAAUUGUAAAGAAAAUAAAGGUGGUCUUCUAUUCUCGGAAAAAAAUACCUCUUUCUAGGACGUUAUUGGCUUAUUUAUAGAUCGCCUUUGUUGAUCAGUUAUUGUCUAUUCAUGAUCGGCCACUACUCUUGUUUUUCCGGGCCACUUUCAACCGAUCAGAACCGCUUGUGUAACCGCUCGCGGCUACUGUAACUUUACUUAAUUUGUGCGGUGAUUACUUAGAAUUUCUUUCGAUACUCUUGGUGCACAAUAAAAUCCUUAUCAUUAAAGAACAGUGUUGAGUGGAGUACCGAUGCACCACUUGGAUGUGUCUUAUUGGCCCAACAGUAUUCAACUUUAGUCGUCUACAAUAUAAAUUUUGAGUUUCAAAGUCCGUUUUUACGUCUAUUUUGCGCAAAACGUUUCCAAUUCAAUCAAGCAUAAACUUAUACUGUAACUUUGCCAAUUUGUUAAGGUUCAAUAUAUCAUAACAUUGCAGCGGACUAAUAUUAUAAAAGACAGAAGAUUGAUAAAAUAAAAAUUUUUAAAUUUUUUAACUUACAUGAGACAUCAAUAAAUAUAAAUAGUAUGAGAAAAAAAAAAAGAAAAAACUUUAAAUAUUACCCCUAUGGUUUUGCACUUUUUUAUUUUAAUACCCUAUAAUUUAAAGUGUAUCAAUUUAGUACCCUGUAAUUUUUUUUUUCUUUUCGUCACUCCCUAUGUUAACUUUUUCGUUAAAUCAUAUACAAAAAACUUUAGAUUGAAUAUCACGUUAGUACCUUUUAGCUUUAACUUUGUUACUGAUUUAACUAAAUAAAUUAGUGGAGAAGAUAAUAAAAAAUUAAACCACGUGGUAUUAAAGUGAAAAAAUAUGAAACCACUGGAAUAGUAUUUAAGUAUUUCCCAAAGAAUAUGAAGAAAUUUUAUUUUACUUGUUUUUCGUAAACGCAUUAAUUGAAAAGUGAACGGGUAGAAAGAUAAAAUAUCGGACAGAGAUGAGGGUGAAAAGACGAAGCAUCAAAAAGUAAGAAGGGGAGAAAGCAAUAGUGAAAAAAGGAACUGCAAAUUCUAUGAAAAAAGAUAUAAAAUAUAAAAAAAAAGUUCCUCUGUACCCUUAUAAAAUCAUUAAUUUCAUAAAUAUCUAUCUAAAAAUUAGAAUAUCAUAUAUACCCCGCCAAAUUUGAAAUACUUUCAAAAAUAACCCUACAAUCAAAUUUCUAUCUAAAUUAAAAUUAAUUAGUAUUUAAAUUCCAAAUUUACCACUAUUAUGUAUUCAAUAGUCAAUUAUUUUAUUUCAUAAAUAUUCUCUAUUAUAUUUAAAAAUUAAGUAAGUAAAAUUCAAUUGAUUUUAAUUUAAAAAAAUUAUUGAUUUUAAUUAAAAAUAAAUAUUUCUAUUUGGUAUAAAUUGUAGUUCAAUUAGCAAUGAAGCAAAAUAAAAUAAAAUUUAACUAUAUUUUAUACCAAGUAGAUAUAUUUAUUGUUAAUUAAAAUGAAUUUUUUUUCAAACUAAAAUCAAUUGAAUUUUACUAAAUUUUUAGUCUGGAAGAGUUUAUUAAUUUUGAAAUAUUAGAGAGGUAAAGUUGGAAUUUAAAUAUUAAUUAACUUUAAUUUUGAUGGAAAUUUGAUUGUAAGGUUAUUUUUAAAAAUUUUUCAAAUUUGACGGGAUAUACAUGAUAUUUUAAAUUUUAGAUAAAUAUUUAUAAAAUUGUCCCUCCAAUAUAGUAGAUUGGUCGGGCACAUGAAGAACGUUACAAUGCUUUUUUUUGGGAAGUCAAAAAACAGGACAAGAAGUGGGUGGGUUUCUUGGCCGGAAUUUUAGGGGAAAGUGAGCAAGAGAAUAUAGAAAAAAACAUAUAUAUAAAAAUAAUAUAUUACACACAUGUAUAUUUGAAUCAUUUUAUCCCGUUGAAUUUAUAAGCGUGACACAUCGGUUAUUAAAAUAAUAAUCUUUGAGACUAUUUUGAUCACUUGUAAAUAAUAUUAAAAAAUUAUGAGAUUUGGUUUGUAAAUAGUUCUAACACAGUAAAUUAUGUCAAACGAAAUCGAUCGUCAAAUCGAAUAUUUUAUUAUUGAAAACAAAUUACAAAUACGGAGGCCUGCAUAGCUUUAAAAGCACGAGACAUAUUCAUACAUUAAUACAUUAACUCUUAUCUUUGAGGGUCAAAGUACCUCGCACCUCAUAAUUUGAGGAGCAAUAUAAUUUAGCCUUCAUAAAUUGAUUUAGUUUAAUUCAUAAAUAAUUUUAAUGAAUUCCAUCAUUUGGAUUAAUUUUAAUUAGUUUAAUUAAUUUUAAAUAAAUAAAUUUUAGUUACCUAUAAAAAAAUUAAAGCUAGAAGACUUGCUAAUGAACUAACAAAAAAUAAUAGGAAUAAUUUUAAGAAUGACCAUUCGUGUGGUUCUAAUUUUAUCAAUACCCCUUUGAAGUUUAAGCAUAACCAAUAUUCUUAUAAACAUUAGGAAUAUUCUAAUAUUCCUAAUAUAAUAUGUGUAAAUUAAUGAGUAGUUAUAAAAUUUCCUUUUUAUCCCCCAAUAAAUUAAAAACUUAGCAAACUUAUCAAUAAAGUAAGCAAUUUUUUAAAUUUUAAUGAGUUUUUUUAAGGCUAAGCAUACUUAAUUAAAAAGUUACACCAUAAUCUCUAAUAUAUAUAGCUUUUGUAAAACAACGUAUAUUUAUAAAUUGAAAAUUUUGAUGGGAUAUAUUAUAUAUGAAAUUUAGGAAGUUGAGAGGGUACAUUGAAAUUGCUUCCAAAAAUAGAUAAAUUUGCAAAAAUAAAAAUAAGAAAUGAGUUAGGCUCCUAUGCUUUGAAAAGUACGGAGGCCUCCGUACUUGUAAGUUGUUUUCGAUGAUGGAGUAUCCGAUUCGGCGAUUAGUUUCGUUAGACAUAAUUUAUGUUAUUGGAACUAUUUAAAAACCAAAUUUCAUAAUUUUUUGACUUCAUUUGUCUGGUAAACGAACGGGUAGACUCAAAAUGAACGGCUGAAAAUAAAAAUUUAAAAAAAAAUAGUGAUAAAAUAUUCAAAUUUCAAAUCGGAAGUAUUAUUCUUACUCUUAAUGUUAUGUAGAAAUUUCUAUUAAGAUUUCAUGUAAUUUGAAUUCUUCUACACCGUUAAACUUUAAAACAUGCCACAUCGGCCAUUAAAAUAGUUAUUUUUGAGACUCUUUAAUCACUUGGUAAAUAAUGUAAAAAAAUUAUGAAAUUUAGUUUCUAAAUAAUUCUAAUAAUGUAGAUCAUGCCUAAUGAAACCGAUCGUCGAAUCAGAUGCUUUAUCAUAAAAAAUAAUAUACAAACACAAAAAUCUCCAUAUUUUUGAAAGUAUAUUUAGUUUUAUAUAUUUGAACAGAAGCUUCUAAAUCUUUUUAUUUUUUUCUUGUGUCUUUUUAGCAGUUAAUGUUUCUACACGGCAUCUCCACCUGUCGUUUUCUCCAUCACCCUUCCCCUUCAUUAGUUUUAUAUUUAACCCCAUUUCAAUUAUUAUUAGUUUAUAUUAAAAUUUAUGUUAUUAUUAUUCUAUAUUUACAUCUAAAAUUUUAAAGUGUACAGAUAUAGCGCACAGGAUUUUCGAUUGUGACUCAGUCCAAGCAAUCUUUCGUUAUUUCAAAAAUGACUCGAACCAACUCAAUCUUUCAUUAUUGCAAACGUGACCCCACUCAAUCUAAUCUUUUACCACAUGAGAGAAUAUUGAUUUUUUUAAGUCAAUAAAUUCGCCUUCACCUUUCGUACUAUCAAACUGAAAAGAUCGAUUGUAGUACAAAUUGUAUUACAAAUUGUAAUCGAGAGAUCGAGAGUACGUCGAAACAAACAAAAAUUAGCUAAGGAUUUAAGAAAAAACGCACCUCCGGUACACCACUUAAUAGGUAUGAAAUGAUUAGUGUCACAAUCAAGGUAAUCAAAUCAUAUUCAAUAAUCCACCAUUAAUGAAAUUGAAAAAGUUUACUAUUUAUAUUCAGCAAUUUGAUUGGUUAGAAAUAUCAAUACGACCGCAACCCUCUAGCCAUAGAUAAUUUUUAUUUAAUAGUCAUAAAUUUAAUAACCUCUAAUAAAAAUCAUAAAAACAAGCAAUACUCAUACUUUUCUUUUCUUUUCUUUUCUUUUCUUUUUUUUUGUCGCAUUUUUAUUGACUCCAAAGUCCACUGCCCAUGCCCACCGUGGUUCUAUUAUAUAUAAUAUACAACAUCACAAUACACGAACCCCCUUAUCAUCUUCAUCAUCAUCAUCAUCUCCUCCGCCUCUUCCAACAGAGAGAGAGAUCGCCAUGGAUGAGCUCGGGGCGAACGCGGCGAAUAGCGCGCCGUUGACGCCGCUAGGGUUUCUGGAGCGCGCGGCGUUGGUGCACGGGGAUCGGGCGUCGGUGGUGUACCGCGACACGGUCUACACCUGGGACCAGACCCUGCGCCGCUGCCUCCGCCUCGCCUCCGCCCUCGUCUCCCUCGGCAUCUCCCCCGGCGACGUCGUACGUACUUACUUACUCUCCCCUAUUCGUUUCGCUUCUCCUUAAUUUGUUGAUUCGAUGGUUCCCUCGAUUGCGAACACGCCCCCCUCCCCCACCCAAAAUCCCAUCUUUGUCUAUAUUUCCACGUUCCCCCAAACCACACCUUUUCCCCUUGUUCCUCCACUUUCAAGAUCUCAAACUUUUCCCGCCCCAAUUUCAUCCCCAGAAUCGCAAAAUCCCAUCUUUUUUGUCGUUCCCCCGACCCCGAUCUCUCAAUAUCUUGUUUUUUUUUUUGUUUUGGUUUGCUACAGGUCUGUCUUUUCCCAACAAAAAUCUCACCUUUCUCCCAAUUCCACCCCCAAUUCCGUCUCUUCUCUCCCCUGCUCUCCGCAUCUGUUUAAUCUAAUCUAAUCUAAUCCAAAAUACUUGAAUUGAGUUAGAAUUGAAUCGAAUUGAAUUGAAUUGAUGAUGAUGGACAGGUGUCUGUGUUGGCGCCGAACAUACCGGCGAUGUACGAGAUGCACUUCGGCGUGCCGAUGAGCGGCGCCGUGCUGAACACCAUCAACACCCGCCUCGACCCCCGCACCGUCUCCGUCCUCCUCCGCCACUCCUCCUCCAAGCUCGUCUUCGUCGACCCCCUCUCCCUCCCCAUCCUCCUCUCCGCGCUCCCCCUCCUCCCCGCCUCCCACCCCCCUCCCCUCGUCGUCCCCAUCGACGACCCCUACGAGCAGGAACAAGCCCCUCCGCUGCACUCCUUCCCCACCACCUACGAGAGGCUCCUCGAGGAGAAGGGCGACCCGGGGUUCCAGUGGGUGCGGCCGCGGAGCGAGUGGGACCCCAUGGUGCUCAACUACACCUCGGGGACGACCUCGGCGCCCAAGGGCGUGGUGCACUGCCACCGCGGCCUGUUCCUGAUCACGGUCGACUCGCUCGUGGACUGGUCUGUGCCGCCGCACCCGGUGUUCCUCUGGACGC
rnacentral:lncRNA from 1 species